rnacentral:miRNA from 12 species
CGGCCCUCGUGGGGGUGCAUUGUAGUUGCAUUGCAUGUGUCAGACUGGGAGUGCAAUGCCCCUGCCAUGCA